rnacentral:rRNA from 1 species
UCCACGCUGUAAACGAUGAGUGCUAGGUGUUAGGGGUUUCGAUGCCCUUAGUGCCGUAGUUAACACAUUAAGCACUCCGCCUGGGGAGUACGGCCGCAAGGCUGAAACUCAAAGGAAUUGACGGGGGCCCGCACAAGCAGUGGAGCAUGUGGUUUAAUUCGAAGCAACGCGAAGAACCUUACCAGGACUUGACAUCCCGCUGACCGGUAUAGAGAUAUACCUUUUCUUCGGAAC